CGGGAAGAAGAAAUGGACAACGUGAUAUUUAUAACGGUCACGGAGGACACUGGACACAAGAGGAAAGUGAGGCGGAACUGGAGGACCAAAUCCCCAGUAAUAAAGAAACAGAGAUUUCAGACCACUGAGCUCACGGAGGUCAGGGGUCUUUGUCUCCAGCGGGCCGCCAGACAUAGUGGAAGAAAAUUAUUCUGCUUUCUUCAGGACUUCUGAUCCAGCUGUUGCCAAACUGCUGUGAGGAUCCUAUGGAAUUGAUGAAUAAAAUCCUCAGCUGACUGAACCCAGGAUCAUUUUAGAAAAAACAAUUUAUCUGACAUUGUAAAGCAAGAUGUGUUAAGAGCAGAACUUAAAGAUUCAAUAUGGAGGAAUGCUGUAGA